GACGAACGCUGGCGGCGUGCCUAAUACAUGCAAGUUGAGCGCUGAAGGUUGGUACUUGUACCAACUGGAUGAGCAGCGAACGGGUGAGUAACGCGUGGGGAAUCUGCCUUUGAGCGGGGGACAACAUUUGGAAACGAAUGCUAAUACCGCAUAAAAACUUUAAACACAAGUUUUAAGUUUGAAAGAUGCAAUUGCAUCACUCAAAGAUGAUCCCGCGUUGUAUUAGCUAGUUGGUGAGGUAAAGGCUCACCAAGGCGAUGAUACAUAGCCGACCUGAGAGGGUGAUCGGCCAAAUUGGGACUGAGAAAAGGCACAAAAUGCUACGGGAGGCAGCAGUAGGGAAUCAUCGGCAAUGGACGAAAGUCUGACCGAGCAACGCCGCGUGAGUGAAGAAGGUUUUCGGAUCGUAAAACUCUGUUGGUAGAGAAGAACGUUGGUGAGAGUGGAAAGCUCAUCAAGUGACGGUAACUACCCAGAAAGGGACGGCUAACUACGUG
rnacentral:rRNA from 1 species